GAUGAACGCUGGCGGCGUGCUUAACACAUGCAAGUCGAACGGAAAGGCCCAAGCUUGCUUGGGGACUCGAGUGGCGAACGGGUGAGUAACACGUGGGUGAUCUGCCCUGCACUUCGGGAUAAGCCUGGGAAACUGGGUCUAAUACCGGAUAGGACGAUGGUUUGGAUGCCAUUGUGGAAAGUUGUUGCGGUGUGGGAUGAGCUCGCGGCCUAUCAGCUUGUUGGUGGGGUAAUGGCCUACCAAGGCGUCGACGGGUAGCCGGCCUGAGAGGGUGUACGGCCACAUUGGAACUGAGAUACGGCCCAGACUCCUACGUGAGGCAGCAGUGGGGAAUAUUGCACAAUGGGCGGAAGCCUGAUGGAGCGACGCCGCGUGGGGGAUGACGGCCUUCGGGUUGUAAACUCCUUUCGCUAGGGACGAAGCGUUUUUGUGACGGUACCUGGAGAAGAAGCACCGGCUAACUACGUG
rnacentral:rRNA from 1 species